UUUGGAUGGACAAUCCAGGACCUAACAAUUGGAAUCGAAUUGAACAGAAACGAAUUGAAGACAAUGAACCCUAACGAAAUUCGAAACUAAGAUACCAAAAAAACGAAAAUAUAACACAGCCCUAGAAAGACAGAUAGAUAAAGAUUUACCUGUUGUUGGCUCUGAUACCAAAUGACGCGGAACCGUAUGGCACUUAAUCCUCAAACCCCGUCGCACCUCUGAUAUAGAUUCCAAGAACGUGGAUAAACCACCCUCUAUAGCACCCUAAGCUUAGCGAAGCUAGAACACUAAUAACGGAAGGAUUUUGUAGAACGGAUCAGAAGAACGCCACAAUCGAAAUUGAUAAGUUGGUCUGAUUCGUGAUGCAAUCAAUGAAAGAAGCAAACUCUCACUCUCUCAAAGAAGGCCGAAAUUUGCAUAAAGCAAAUCUGAAUUAAAUUUGUCAAAAAAACAAAAAAAGUGUCUGAUAUAAGAAUUUAAGGCCUUAUUUAUAGUGUAAGGCAAAAACCUAAACCUAGUUGGAAAAGGAAAACAAAUACUAAGUCAGAAUUCCUAUCCCAACAGGGAAACAAGCUAAAAUAACAAAAAUAACUGCCAAGUCUUUAAAAACCAACCACAUUCUCGUAUGCCUCAAUAGUUCCAGCAGAAACCACAACCUCAGGGACGAAACCACAACCUGCUUAUGGUUCGGGCUGAUUCUCCACUAUCUUCCUCCAUGAUGUGCUCCAAAAUUAACUUCCACAAAACACAAAAGUAUCUUCGGCUAACUGAAUGUCGCGAGCGCGACUUUGAUAAUGGUAGCGAGCGCUACAAAUCUU
rnacentral:lncRNA from 1 species